CCGAUGAGGUUAGAUCGUCACCGAUCUGGCACACAUUAUGUCACACACGCGACUGUCGGCUGAUCACGAGUGGAAAAUCACAAGAUUUCAAGUAAAUUCACAUCAAUUCUACUUAAUAUCAUAAAGGGCACAAUAAUAAAAGAUUAUUUCAAAAUCAAGCAGCGGAAAUAUCAAAAAUUUGACAACGUUCCACAAUGAAACACGAUGGGCGUUAUUCUGAUGAUCGGACAGCAUUGUGACCCAAAGCAGCUUCCGGAUUUUGGACUGGGCGUCAACGAAUGCGAUGCAUCUUUGCGCUGCGAUGCACAUUGCACAGCGUUGCGAUAAUUUCAAUAGUUACGGUGAAUUGUCGCGCAUGGAGUCUGAAAUGGAGUGACUUUAUCCUAAUAUUUGUGGCUGCCGUCGGAUACCGUCCGCUUGCCGAAAUGUCGAAAUGGUAAUAUUAUUUAUUUAUUCAACGGUUAAUUUGAUCAAAUAUGUACUUCCAAUUUCAAUUACAACCUACUUUCUAGAUUGUAUGAGCUCCAAUAAAAGUCAAUUUAAUAUUA